rnacentral:rRNA from 1 species
UACGAUGGGAGCUAGCGUUGUUCGGAAUCACUGGGCGUAAAGCGCACGCAGGCGGAUCGAUAAGGCGGGGGUGAAGGCCCGGGGCUCAACCUCGGAAUUGCCUUCGAUACUGUCGGUCUCGAGUCCGGGAGAGGUGAGUGGAAUUCCUAGUGUAGAGGUGAAAUUCGUAGAUAUUAGGAAGAACACCAGUGGCGAAGGCGGCUCACUGGCCCGGUACUGACGCUCAGGUGCGAAAGCGUGGGGAGCAAACAGG